AUUAACGUCAAUUCCAGUUUUGUUAACACAGAUAGGAAGCCAAGUUGUAGCUCCGAACUUACUAACAAUAGCCUAAGCAUGAUCAAUGGCAACGUCUGACUCUGAUAGGCCUGUCUAUACAGAGAGAGAUGAAGAGACUGUCUGACUGACUUUUGUACAAAAAAGUGAAAUAAUACUGUUUAUAAUAUUUUUCCCCUCAGGACCAGAUGGCUGUGUGACAUGUUUUCAGUUCUGUGCAAGGAACCACCAUCACACCAUGGAAGACGUCAAUGUCAACAGCAGAAGGAAAAUUACUCUGCAGGCCCUUCCCAUCUUCUUGUGGGAAGAUGGAUUUUUUAAGACCUGGAAUGCAGAAGAAAUUGACCGUCCAGACUUCUCGGAUGCAGCUGUAUUCUCACUGUCUCGGGUGAUACAGACUCCCUUGUGAAGUUUGGUCCUGCUAUCCAUUCUAUAGUUCUUGACGGAGAUAUUGUUGUGUGAUAUAGCAGAGUUGACAGAGACGUUAAUUUCCCUAUUUGGCUUAAUUUGUGCACUUCAUCUCGAUUAUCCAAAGCAAUUGUCCUACACAUUUAAGUUCAUUCAAAAAAUUAUAAUGGGUUUGGAAGACACCAAUAAAUUGCUGAUGAUGGAUGAGUAAGCAGUCUGUUUUCCAAAUCUCAUGGUUGGUACUGCCAGCAUGUUAAUACUCAAGCAAGCAAUGGAGCUUUUCACUUUUAUUUAUGUUGGCCUAUUAUUUUGUUAUUUGAGUAUUAUUACCUUUGUUAAAGUGG